UUUUUCUGCUAUUAUAGUAUAAAUAAUUUUGAUAACAUCUUUCCUUAGAAGUGCAAUGUGCCUGAUGCAUCAUGACCAGACCAGGAAAAAUCCAGGGCACUCCAUAAACAAUGCUGCAGAAACUAACCGGUGGAUACAACAGCCACGGCAAAGAACUCUCCAUCAGCUGUUGAGGUAAGAGGAGUGUCAAGUUACUUGCCCUAUAAAUUAGGCCAUUCAAUGAAUCUUUCUUAUUGGAGCUGCUUGUACAGGACUCUACACUGGAGAUUAAAAGUCUGUUUUGCAUUUGGCUUUAAAUAAUCCUGUCUCUGCAGUUGUUCCACAAAAUCUUAGGAGUAGCUUUUUUUCAUGCUCCUACAUCGUGCUCAAAGUAAGCCGCCUCCACCACCCAGUUUUGCACGCUUGGCUUGAAGAUGGGAUAGAUGAAGGAUUUAUACCAGUCUUCCACUUGGAAAAGAAGAUAACGGCAUCUGGAGGAAAAAUAUUUCCUGCCAAUGAGGAAAAAGUGAAUUUUCAUACUACAAGGUCCAACAACAACAACAAAAAAAUAGGACUGUGCCUGUAACUUUUUAUUUAACAAAUUAAAAAAAUCAGCUAUGAACACCUCAAAAACAGUUCCCUUCUGGGCUGAUGCACAGUAGCACAUGAUGCUGCCAACAUUCAAAGCAACUCCACAGAUCAUUUUCUGAAAGGCUGUUGAGGAUCUCCAUCAUUUUUGCUUUCACAUCAUCUACUGACAAAAAAAAAAAUGGGUUCCUUUGGGCACUGACUGGAUCUUUGGGAAGAGCUAGAAAUUGCAGGGAGCCAGGUCUGGUGAACAGUGUGAGUGCACUCUGGCACAGUGAUGUUGUUCUUAACCAAAUUUUCUUCACAGACAAAGCAUUGUAUGCUGGCACGUUAUCUUGAUGUUCACUACCUGUUCACUGUUGCACAUUGACAUUUUCCAACUGAGAGUAAGAAAACAUUUCUACUUGAACACGCAUCCACUCAUGCCAAGUCAAGUGAUAGAGCUGAACCUUGUCUCUCUGUGACAGACUAGAACAUCUUCUAUGACAUCUUUUUUCUCUCCCUUCCCACUCAUGGUUUCUGAGCUAUGUGGUUAGUCUCAGGUUUUUUUAGUAUCAGACCUCAUACGAUGACAAAAAUACCAAGAGGAUGGAGGGCCUUUCCACUUCAAGGAACCCGGGGGAUAAUGAUGCCAUUCUCUACUCUGUGGAAAGUUCGAAUACCUACACCUACAUGGGGAUAAAGGAAUCCCUAAUCACAAGCAAAUUCUAGCUCCUGGAUGGCACAACUGAGCUGUACUAACUGGCAUUUAAUGAAGAUUCUGGAAAAGACAAAAAGGAAAGUGUGGAAAUGUACACUGAUGGCACCUGGAAUGAUGAAAGUUGCAACCAGAAUUACCUUAUUGUCCAUCAGUUUUAGUGCUUCCCCUUGUUGCUCUCUAGAGAGGACCUUGAAACACGCUUUCCCUAUCCCUGGACGCUGCAUUUGCAGCUGGUCCACUCAGAUAAUCCAGCACAAAAAAAAAAAAAAGUCACUCAUGCCCAGCCUGAUUUGUCUUUUAAAGAAGUGCCAGCUGAGAAGAAGAAACCACUUAUGAGAGUAGUGGCCAUUUUGUCUAGUUUAUUAUUCAUUGCUGGCCAAGUUUCUUGAUACAAUGUGAUAGGACUAUUGGUUCCUACUGCUGUUAACCUGCUGACUUAUUAGAAGAGCAAAAAGUAAAUCCGUAGACCCAUGUUAAGUUCAAUUUUUUUAAUUUAGAUAGUAGGGAGACUCAUAUACAGCCAGUUUGUGGGCACCACAGAGCUGCCUGGCGAAACCUGACUGGGUUUCCCAAGGGGCAAAGCUUAGGUGAUGUCUACAUUUCUGACGAUAUUCUGUGGUCAUUGCAAAAGCUACUCAGAGCCUGCAGCCUCCAGCUAAAGGAUUAUUUUGAGAAAAAACUACGUCAAGAGCUGAGUGUUCCCGAGGUUGGAUGCAGCUGUGCAGUGCAACAGGCACAUCCAGAGAUGUCUAUGAUUUUUUUCCCCUGGGGCAGUUGACUAAGAUAGUUAAGACAAUGAAAGUUUUACAUAAGUUCCAUGACACAGUGCAAAGGGUGGCUGAGCAUCCAGACAUACCUCCAUAUAUACCAAGCCAAAUUCCUGGCUAUCAGUCACACUCACAUGAGCUUUAUUAGGUCCAGUUUGGUCAUUGAGAGCUGAGCAAGUAAACAUCCAGCUCUAGAGCCAGAGCAGCUCCUCUCAAACUCUGUGUGGGAGGGAGACAGAGCAGCCAAAGUAUGAAAGUAACUGGGGAGGAAAGGCAAGCUCAGAGCUGGUAUGAAUGCAAGGGCCAGCAAAGGGGCUGCUUGGAGCCUCGUAGCUGUGCACAUCGCUGUAGUUCCAGAGCAGCAACUGUCUGUGCGUGACAUUCCUGUAUUUGCUUAAAUUCAAUUACUCAAAUGUUUUCAGUAUGUGUUUUCACCACCUGCUCUAUGACAUGCCAUGGAUCAUUCUGGCUUCUGUUCAGCCCUCAGCUUGAUGUCACAGCCUGUGAAUCAUCCUUACCGUUAUUCUCUGCAAACUUACCUAUCUCACAGGUAUUUGCUUAGGAUGAUUAAUGUAAUAGGGCUAACAUCAAGAUGCCUUCCUUCUUGAGCUAUUUCAUGCCUGCUUGAGCUAUUUCAUACCUCCACGAGUUACUCAAAUAUUCGUUUCAGCAAUAUUGACAUCCUUCAUCACAAUAAUGCAUACCAAAUAUUUCCCCUCUUCUGGGAACCAUAAAGUUAUCCUAACAUAUGUAGAGACUAAACCGUGCACAGCAUCUACAUUUUAAUCAAUGCAUCUAUUCAGCAUGUAAGGAAAUCCAAAAGCUGUUAAAAAAUACCCUGUCUCUGCACAAUACAGCCAAAACAAACUACUGAAUCAUUUAAGUUCUAAGUUGACUUAUGUUAAUCCAGCUGAAACAGGUACUUGGAGGGGAAAUGAGGACUUACGAGUCCAUAGGCACUUUUUUACUUUCAAACUCUACUCUUACUCACAAAUGUUUUACUGCUCACCCACACAGUCUUCAGCCUUGCAUGACUCCUGUUGUGAAACUCACUCUGCUACAAGCAUGAGGAAACAAGAACACAGGCAUCACUUUGUACAGUAGUUUUCCACUCAUCAUAUUCCAAUCAAGUUUAGGAAGUUUACAAUGAUUAACGUCAGCCUGAGAAUGAAGUUGGACCCCCUCAAACAUUUAAAGCCAUAAGUCUUUUAUUUUAACCUUCUUAUCUCCAGGGGUUUACAAAGUCAUCUCAAAAUGAGGGCAAGCUGCAGGUGUGACAGAAAAUAGCUGCCUUAGUGUCAGUCUAAUGAAUAUAUGCCACAGCAGAAGUGUUCCCCCAGCACCGUGUUUGGGCUCUUUCCCCUGUGGUGUCCAGGGAAGAGGCUAAAGAACAUAAUGUGUUACUCCACCACUACAGACGUCUGCCCCCUUUGGCCACACCAGCUAUGUAUGGUAAUAGAUGUGGCCCUAAAACCUUAAAGGGAGCAAAUAUUUCUCACCCUGCCUGACACUGCUCCCUCUAGCAACCCUGUUGACAGCAGGCAGGUCUGGAAUCAGUAGGAUUGGCCUGGAAAGCAUAUUGGCUUGGCAUUUGAACACCUAAUUUAUUUCCUAAAUCUAAAUGCAAGAGCAGCAUAGUAGCAUUUGAUUUGUAGCAAUACAGGAUUCCCCAAGGCUGGCAACUCUUUCCUGCAAAGUUAUUUUCUCAAACAUUUAUGAACGUAUUUUAAAAGCCUAAUCCACUCUAUCCCAAUCUUAAAUAUCAGCUGUGCUUUUUAAAACUGCCAUCAUUCAUUAUGUAUUUACCAGUACUUGUGCAUCUAUUGGACCCAGCCAAACUGUGCAACAUUCAGUUUUCAGCCAAAGGAGAAAACUGCUUGCAAAGGUGAAAGUAAGAACACCACCGCCAGGAUUAAGUAGAAUUAGAAUCAUAUUAAUUGUAACAGCUAGUGAAAAACAGGAUUAGCAGAUUUCUUGCAAAGGAACUUAAAAAGGAACCUGGUUUUGGCAAGAUCAAUAAAACAGUGAUGUCAAAUAUCAAAGAUGAAAGUAACAUGUCAAGUUUGGGGGUAAAAAAUGGUUAUUUAUUCUGCCUUUUAAAGUGGAAAACAUUUCCCUACCCUCCAAAGAAGUGUUCAGAAAAUUGUUUCUAAUUCUAUAAAAAUUAUUCCUAACAAAAAUUUCUCUUGAUCAUUAUUUCCUGUAAAAAUACCCUACUUCAUCUUUGUGUUACUGAAGCAUUUAAAAAAAAAAAAAACAAAACACAAACCAACAAAAACUACUGCCAGAUAUGUUGACUUUAAGGUCUAAAGGGACAUGUAUGAAAUCUGCAAAUGUUCACCCCUUUGGCUAUCUCCAUUGAUAGCUGCACAGUUUCCAGUGUCCCCACAGAGAGGUUUUUAGCUCAGGCUGAAGUCUGGCCUUGACACCUUUCCUUGACACCAGACAGUUCUGCGAGCAGAUCAGACAGAUGUUUCUCAGAGCCUGUGCAGUGCCACCACUACAACAGAUCAGAGCAGAGACAGAGCUGGGUAAGCAAAGCCUCCAAAAGGGUUUCUAUGUGCUUUUUACUCCAUGUAACAGACACUACAGCACCCUGACCAUAACUAUGAGUCUUCAAAUAUUUAAAUAAAGCUAUGCUAGUAAGUAGCAAGUGGGUUGCUAAACAUACAUAGUUGGAAGCAGGUUGGGCAUAUGACCUUCAUGUAUCUGCAGUAACUUUAGGGGUAUCAGCCCUCAUGCUCCAAAGUCUGCAUGUGCUACUCAUUAAGUAACUCAGAUUCUGACUGGUUAUUAUUAUCAGAUUAUUAAUUUCUGAGUAAGAGAUGAUUUACAAUGAAAACCCAAGUGGUUUCCUGGCAAAAAAAAAAAAAAAGGCAUCAUUUUUCAUUACUGUCUACUGAAACAGCUUGUGCAUGUGUGAACAGUCAGCUAUUGUUUUACUGAUCGUGAGCUAACUGUGGUCAAGAGAGAAGACUUCAUCCUUUGUUUGGAAAGGAUUGUGCCACUUUAAGAACAGCACGUGGGAGGCGAUACAGGCAUCACUAUACAAACAAGUACCUGUGCGCAAUACUGCUCACCUGAGCCUCGAACAGCUGAGGGGACACUGCCCUCGCCUUCCCCCAGUUCAUCUGGCAGUUGAAUGCCACCUUCUCCAACACACCCUCUCACUACCUGGCAGCAGAGGAUGGACACCCAGAUAAAGCAACUCAAUUUUAUCUGCAUGACUUGCAAGACGCCUUGAGGACGCUUAGAAGUUUCAAGCUCUUGACAUGGAGGAAAUCGUGGUGGAAACAGUCCUGGCUCCAUGGGAAAUACUGCUGGUCAUUUUUGCUGCGGUGCUGAUAAUGAGUUUCCUCAUGUUUCUGCCCCCCGCAGCAGUGGUGAUCUGGAGAAU